rnacentral:rRNA from 1 species
AACAAACGCUGGCGGCGUGCCUAAUACAUGCAAGUCGAACGGGGAAAGCUUUCGGGUGAGUACUAGUGGCGCACGGGUGAGUAACGCGUGGAUAAUCUGCCUUAGAGUGGGGGAUAACUAGUCGAAAGAUUAGCUAAUACCGCAUAAGACCACAAGAACUGCGGUUCAAGAGGUCAAAGGUUUUUCGCUCUAAGAUGAGUCCGCGUAAGAUUAGCUAGUUGGUGAGGUAACGGCUCACCAAGGCAACGAUCUUUAACUGGUCUGAGAGGAGGAUCAGUCACGCUGCAACUGAGACACGGUCCAGACUCCUACGGUGGGCAGCAGUAGGGAAUAUUGCACAAUGGAGGAAACUCUGAUGCAGCGACGCCGCGUGAGUGAUGAAGGCCUUCGGGUCGUGAAGCUCUGUCGCAGGGAAAUAACACAAUGAAUGUACCCUGUAAGAAAGGAUCGGCUAACUUCGUGCCAGCCGCCGCGGUAACAC